AACGCACAUUGCGCCCUUUGGCAUUCCGAAGGGCAUGCCCGUUCGAGCGUCAUUACACCAAUCAAGCCUGGCUUGGUAUUGGGCGUCGGGAGACCCCGCGCCCCUAAUUCAUCGGCUGGACGGUUCGAAUCUCAGCGUUGUGGUCAUUCAAUUCGCUGGCGAGGACGACCGGACGCGCCGUUAAACCUCUUAUCACAGGUUGACCUCGGAUCGGGUAGGGAUACCCGCUGAACUUAA
rnacentral:misc_RNA from 2 species